rnacentral:tRNA from 3 species
GGAGAGGUGGCAGAGCGGUCGAUUGCGGCGGUCUUGAAAACCGUUGACCCGCGAGGGUCCGUGGGUUCGAAUCCCACCCUCUCCGCCA